rfam:Neorickettsia helminthoeca str. Oregon, complete genome.
GAUCUCGUAGCUCAGUCGGUAGAGCAUUUGACUUUUAAUCAAAGGGUCGUGCGUUCGAAUCGCACCGAGAUCA